GUUGCGGUGGCCGAGUGGUUAAGGCGUUGGACUAGAAAUCCAAUAAGAUCUUCCCGCGCAGGUUCGAAUCCUGCUCGCAACG
rfam:Nematostella vectensis strain CH2 x CH6 NEMVEscaffold_452_Cont27643, whole genome shotgun sequence.